rnacentral:rRNA from 1 species
GGGGGGGGGGGGGGGGGGGGGGGAGGGGGGGGGGGCGAGGGGGAGGGGGGGGGGGGGGGGGGCGCGAGGGGGGGGGGGGGGGGGAACGCGGGGGUAACCUACCCUGGGCGGUGGGAUGACGGCAGGAAGCUGGGGCGAAUACCGGAGAGGAGCUCCUGCGGCAUGGGGGGGGGGGGGAAGUAUCGGCGGUUGGGGAUGGACUCGCGGCUUAUCAGCGUGUUGGUGGGGUAGUGGCUCACCAAGGCUUUGACGGGUAGCCGGCCUGAGAGGGUGACCGGCCACAUUGGGACUGAGAUACGGCCCAGACUCCUACGGGAGGCAGCAGUGGGGAAUAUUGCACAAUGGGCGGAAGCCUGAUGCAGCAACGCCGCGUGCGGGAUGACGGCCUUCGGGUUGUAAACCGCUUUCGCCUGUGACGAAGCGUGAGUGACGGUAAUGGGUAAAGAAGCACCGGCUAACUACGUG